GGUAAGUUUGUUAAAUUUCACAAUGAACACUUGUGUUUUGACAAAAGAAGAGAUAAAGUGAGUUUUGUCAUCAUCAUGGUUUCUUUCAGAGUAUAACUCGUGAACAGAUGAAAACCUAUUUUUUGCUAGAUUUUCAUGUACUCUUUUUUUGGAUGAUAAGUAUGUCAGUAACUCAAAAUCAUACGGCUAGUACAGUAUGGAACAUGAAUGCUUUGUUCAGAUUUUCAGAUGUGUGCUGGCAGUUUAAGUCUGGCAGCUGAAGUGAACAGUCGUGUUUUCUGGAGCUCCAACAAUAUGCUAGAAGGAGUGCUUAUCCAGUGAUGAUAUGACAGUUGGAGUGAACAGUGGAGCCAAGCAGUCUUGUUUUUGGAGCUACUCAACAAGCCUUGAAGAUGCUGAUGGCAGUGAUGGGUUUUCAAGCUGACCUGAACAGAAAAGCACUCAUAUGGUAAGUACAAAAUAGUUGUUAUAUGGGAUGUUUUGUGCAUGCUUUUAUGUUUCAGGUGUACUUGCUGACAGCGACGAAGACGAAUCAAGAAGAGGAACAUUGUUGAGAAAGUGAUUGGGACUUGCAAACAGGAUUCGAGUCACUGGUUUACACAUGGAAGAAGAUUUCCACGUCUGUUACUCAACUCUACAGAAGCAAGUGGAUGUCCAGAUGGCAAGCAGUACAGACGUGUUUCUUGGAGCUGCCAAACAGUGAGUACAAACGUUUUAUAUUUUUCAGUUGUUUACUCAUAGAAGUCUGUGAAAGAUGAUAACAAGGGUUGAAUCUAUCAGCACUUGUGUCUAAAAAUGCUGAUGUGUGACGGUUUACUGAAAAGGGUAAAUGCUAGCCAGUACUUACACUUGAGCAACCGUGGGAUGUCGAACUAACUGAUGAUGUACUAUGAUGGUGAACACUUACUAUGUGUAUCAAAAUGCUUUUGUUGAUAUUUACUAUAGAUGAUUUGAUAUUGGUUAACAUUUGUUUGCAUGCUGUUAACAUUUCUAUUUCAUUUCAGUGAGCUGUGGUGAGUAUUGUAGUAUACAUUUGUUUCAAUAAAUCAUGGUGAUUGUUUUUUACAGUUUUAGGGAUUAUCACUCUAUAACAACUCUGUCGGUUGGUGUUCAUGAGUCUGAGCCUAAUACCGCAAUGUUUGAGUAGUACAAAAAUGUUUUCGCUUUUGUGGUCGCCAGCUGUCCGUGAUCUGUAAAGUGAAAAAUACACAGAGCUAUGAAGCAUACAAUUGUUUCGAAAUUUUAUCAAUGAUUGUAUACUAUGCAUGUUUUGAUUUAGUUCGUUUCAGAUAUGACAUGACAUGAAGAGUUGACAGUCGAACAGAGCUGAGCAAUGCAGAAAGGUAAGUGUGUUUCAUUUUAGUAUGAACACUUGUAUUUUGUUUUUAUAUGGUAUGUUUUGUGCAUGCUAUGUUUCAGGUGUACUUGUAGUCAGCGACGAAGACGAUUCAAGAAGAGGAACAUUGCUGAGAAAGUGAAUGGGACUUGCAAACAGGGUAAGUGUUACAAUUGUUUGUUUGAUUUUUACCAUGCAUACUUUGCUUUGCUCUGUUUCAGAUUUCACAUGCAGAAAUGGUCUCAUAGCAGUGCCAACAGUGAAUAAGGAUUUCAGCUGCUGUGAAACAACUCAACAGAAAGUAGGUAAGCAUUGAAUGAAUGCACUUGAGUUGUACAAUUUGAUGUGAUGCUUUUCUCUGUUUCAGAUUCAAGUUCCUGGUGUAGACAGAGAAAUGUGUUUGAAGAAGGAAUUCUACUACUGUGAUUCAACUCUACAGAAGCAAGGUAAGUAGAAACACAAUUUUGGUUUAAUUUAACUCAUGUGUUUUGCACUGCAUGCUAUUUUUCAGGUCUCUCAUGCAGUGAUGCAAAAGAAGAAGAUUUCAAGAAAGAAUCACUGCUGCAACUCAGGCCUAUAACAAGGUAAGUGUUUACUAUAUUGUAUACAAAAUGUUUCUCUGUUUUACUCUGUUUGAAGGUUUCAAUUGCAGAGAUGUUGCAGAGAUGUUUUGACAGCUUGUGACAGAAAAGAAAUUCAGCAGCUGUGUAUCGACUGUAGCCACGAGGUAAGUCAAAACAAAUAUACUGGUUUGUAUGUUAUGUUGUUAUGCCCUUCUAUGUUUCAGACUUACAUUGCUGUGACUGUUCCACAGUGGGUCAAAAAAGAGACGAAUACAGGUUUCAAGAAGAAAAUUGGCUGUUGAAAACCUGCACAAAAUAUGAGUAUCCUGUGGUAAGUACACUAACUUUCUAUAAUUUCAUAUUGAAAUGUUUUGAUGACUUGUAUACUACUAUGCAAUGCUUAAUGUUUUUUUUCAUUUCAGUAGCCUAUUGGUAAGUACACUAACUUUCUAUAAUUUCAUAGUGAACUGUUUUGAUGACCUGUAUUCUGCAUUGUAAAAUGUGUUUCUUUUUCAUUUCAGUAUGGCUGUGGUAAGUACACUAACUUUCUAUAAUUUCAUAUUGAACUGUUUUGAUGACUUGUAUUCUGCAUUGUAAAAUGUCUGUUUUUCAUUUCAGUAUCCUGUGGUAAGUAUACUAACUUUCUAUAAUUUCAUAUUGAACUGUUUCGAUGAUUUGUAUACUGCUAUGCAUUGCUAAAUGUUUUUUUCAUUUCAGUAUAGCUGUGGUAAGUACACUAACUUUCUUUAAUUUUCAUAUUGAACUGUUUUGAUGACUUGUAUUCUGCUAUACAAAAUGUGCUUUUUUCAAUUUCAGGUCAGCAAUGGUAAGUAUAGUGUGUUUCUUUAUGUAUAAUUUUGUAUACAUAUUGUUUUUUUUCAUCAUAUCAUGUCUUUCAUAUUUAUGCUUUGUGUAAGUAAAAUGUUCAUAAAUCAUUCUUAUCUUCAAACUAAAAAUGUAUUGUGCUAUGCAAAAUGUCUGUAUGAUUUCAGUUGCCAGAGGUGAGUACCAUAACAGUUGAAAAGUUAGUUUUGUUUAGUUAAAGUUUUGGUUCACAGUUUUGUUUGUUAUUUGGCAAAAUUUACAUGUAUGCAUUGAGUCUUGAUUUCAGCUAGAUUGUGGACUGAAGAAGAUUGCCAGCAGAGGGAUUGGAUACAAGAUACAAACUUUACUGCUUGACGAGUGUUAUCAACUACUAGACGAGUCAGCUUUACUACCAGGCGAGCAGUGACAACAAGGCGCCUUUGUGGAAACAACACAACAAAAAACUCUACUGCAAGACGAGCAGUGACAGCAAGGCGCCUGAACAUGCAACACAAUACAAAAAAUGCCAAUUUGCAAACCUUGAUGUGGACACCGAGUAGUCAAUACAUACGUGUGGCGUAUAGCUGCGACAAAACCGUGGGUCCAUCGCACCGAUAACUUGAACAUUGGCCCGUGUAUGGACAUCAGUGCAACUUUGUGAAUCCAUGUAUCUUUGUGAAUCCAUGUAACAUUGCGAAUGUGUGUCGAUCGAAAAAUGUGUACAUUCUGAACUGAAACGAACUCGGUGUUGCAAGUGGCAAGUGUUGACAGUGUGUAUGUUUAUGUUUAUGUUUUUACAUGAAAACUAAAGGAGAUUGUUCUCCUACCUUUUUUUUCCUUGUUUUAUUGCGCUGGCCAGCAAUAUUGAUGUAUUGAUGUAUGUGUUUGUGUUUAAACUAUGCAAUACCAAAAUCAAACAAAAAAUAAACAUUAACAGUCAUUAACUGUG